GAUGAACGCUGGCGGCGUGCCUAAUACAUGCAAGUCGAGCGAACGGACGAGAAUCUUUCUUCUCUUAUGUUAGCGGCGGACGGGUGAGUAACACGUAGAUAACCUACAUAUCAGACUGGGAUAACUUCGGGAAACCGGAGCUAAUACCGGAUAAUAUUUUGAACCGCAUGGUUCAAAAGUGAAAUACGGUCUUUCUGUCACUUAUAGAUGUAUCCGCGCUGCAUUAGCUAGUUGGUAAGGUAACGCCUUACCAAGGCAACGAUGCAUAGCCGACCGGAGAGGGUGGUCGGCGACAUGGGAGCGGGGCCACGGUCCAGGCGCCUACGGGAGGGAGCAGUAGGGAACCUUACGCAGUGGGCGAAAGCAUGACGGAGCGGCGCCGCGUGAGUGAUGAAGGUGUUGGGAUCGUGAAGCUGUGUUAUGAGGGAAGAACAUAUGUGUAAGUGACUGUGCACAUCGUGACGGUACCUAAUGAGAAAGCAACGGCUAACUACGUG
rnacentral:rRNA from 1 species